rfam:Asian citrus Psyllid, Diaphorina citri - Florida Strain, whole genome shotgun sequence.
GUCAGCGGCGAUAGCACAUUAAAUGUGCCAGUAUCCCCUGGAUCACUCAAGGUAAGCAAUGUUGCACGUGGUUAGAUUUCGGCUGGGUGACUAUCUGGGCAAUCGCGUGCUGCUGGCU